rnacentral:tRNA from 1 species
UACAUACUAGCCGAAUUGGAACAGGCGCUUGACUUAAAAGCAGGUAAUUACGGGUUCAAAUCCCGUGUAUGAAUCAA